rnacentral:rRNA from 1 species
UACGAAGGGGGCUAGCGUUGCUCGGAAUCACUGGGCGUAAAGCGCACGUAGGCGGCUUGUUAAGUCAGGGGUGAAAUCCUGGAGCUCAACUCCAGAACUGCCUUUGAUACUGGCGAGCUUGAGUUCGGGAGAGGUGAGUGGAACUGCGAGUGUAGAGGUGAAAUUCGUAGAGAUCGGGAGGAACACCAGAGGCGAAGGCGGCGACCUGGACAAGUACUGACACUCAACUACGAAAGCGUGGGGAGCAAACAGG